UAGUCUACUGUUAGAACUUUGAUUGGUUAGGUUUUGAUUAUGAGAAUCGCCUUCGAGUUAUGACUCUUAGCAUGAAUUAGAGCUUGAGUUUGGUCAUUUGGAUAUGGCAGAGGCUGAUGUUCCAUUUGUAAUUGCGGGAAUUGUGGACUGUUAUCUGAAAGCAAUUACACAUUUACACUUGAACUUUUCUUCUUCAACCCUAGUUGUUGUUUCUAUCUCAGAGAUGGAAAUUUUGAGUUCUUCCUUGACUUAGUUAGUGCCUGGUAUGUAUUUAGUGCGGAGUUGUUCUGAAUUGUACUAGGAUGAUAGUGAAUCUUGUUUCCUCACUGCUUUACAUGGAAUAGUGAGACUGCUUAAGCCCUGACAUGGAGAUAUCUGGUUCGAAGCAAGGGUGAUAAUUAGCGAGUGAGUGCAUUCUUAGUUCAUUUCUGGUGACUUGAACUCUUCCAUCGAUCUGCUUUCGUGCAGCUGAUUGCUUCUGACCACUAUGCUUUCAUCGUUAGUUUGUAAAAUGCCC
rnacentral:lncRNA from 1 species